rnacentral:rRNA from 1 species
GAUGAACGCUGGCGGCGUGCCUAAUACAUGCAAGUCGAGCGAACAGACGAGGAGCUUGCUCCUCUGACGUUAGCGGCGGACGGGUGAGUAACACGUGGAUAACCUACCUAUAAGACUGGGAUAACUUCGGGAAACCGGAGCUAAUACCGGAUAAUAUAUUGAACCGCAUGGUUCAAUAGUGAAAGACGGUUUUGCUGUCACUUAUAGAUGGAUCCGCGCCGCAUUAGCUAGUUGGUAAGGUAACGGCUUACCAAGGCGACGAUGCGUAGCUGACCUGAGAGGGUGAUCGGCCACACUGGACCUGAGACACGGUCCAGACUCCUACGGGAGGCAGAAGUAGGGAAUCUUCCGCAAUGGGCGAAAGCCUGACGGAGCAACGCCGCGUGAGUGAUGAAGGUCUUCGGAUCGUAAAACUCUGUUAUUAGAGAAGAACAAAUGUGUAAGUAACUAUGCACGUCUUGACGGUACCUAAUCAGAAAGCCACGGCUAACUACGU